AACUAACGCUGGCGGCGUGCCUAACACAUGCAAGUCGUGCGCGAAAGGGGCUUCGGCCCCGAGUAGAGCGGCAGACGGGUGAGUAACACGUGGGUAACCUGCCCAGAAGUGGGGGAUAACCUGGGGAAACUCGGGCUAAUACCGCAUACGUUCGCGGGGUUCUGCUCCGCGAGGAAAGCCGGCCUAUGCUUGCAAGCUGGCGCUUUUGGAGGGGCCCGCGGCUGAUUAGCUUGUUGGUGGGGUAAUGGCCUACCAAGGCGACGAUCAGUAGCCGGCCUGAGAGGAUGAUCAGCCACAUUGGGACUGAGACACGGCCCAAACUCCUACGGGAGGCAGCAGUGGGGAAUCUUGCGCAAUGGGCGAAAGCCUGACGCAGCCAUGCCGCGUGAAUGAUGAAGGUCUUAGGAUUGUAAAAUUCUUUCACCGGGGACGAUAAUGACGGUACCCGGAGAAGAAGCCCCGGCUAACUUCGUG
rnacentral:rRNA from 1 species